GUGCCAGCCGCGGCGGUAACACGUAGGGUGCGAGCGUUGUCCGGAAUUAUUGGGCGUAAAGAGCUCGUAGGCGGUGUGUCGCGUCGGCCGUGAAAACUUGGGGCUUAACUCUGAGCGUGCGGUCGAUACGGGCAUCACUUGAGUUCGGCAGGGGAGACUGGGAAUUCCUGGUGUAGCGGUGAAAUGCGCAGAUAUCAGGAGGAACACCGGUGGCGAAGGCGGGUCUCUGGGCCGAUACUGACGCUGAGGAGCGAAAGCAUGGGAGCGAACAGGAUUAGAUACCCUGGUAGUCCAUGCCGUAAACGUUGGGCGCUAGGUGUGGGGACCAUUCCACGGUUUCUGUGCCGCAGCUAACGCA
rnacentral:rRNA from 1 species